rnacentral:rRNA from 1 species
UACGUAGGGGGCAAGCGUUGUCCGGAUUUAUUGGGCGUAAAGAGCGUGUAGGCGGCCAGGUAGGUCCGUUGUGAAAACUAGAGGCUCAACCUCUAGACGUCGAUGGAAACCAUCUGGCUAGAGUCCGGAAGAGGAGAGUGGAAUUCCUGGUGUAGCGGUGAAAUGCGCAGAUAUCAGGAAGAACACACGUGGCGAAGGCGGAUCUCUGGGCCUUACCUGACGCUGAGGCGCGAAAGCUAGGGGAGCGAACAGG